rnacentral:lncRNA from 1 species
AAGCAUGGAUGAUGCUUUUCUAUGGAUCUGAAUUAAGGGAAAAAUGCCCCCUUUUCCAUCACCAGAGAGGUUUAACGCAAGGAAAACUACUCUUUUCCCCAAUAUCUGAGGGGUUUAAAUUAAAGGGGAGAAGCCAUUUCUUUACCACUGCAUCUGUUUAAAUGCAGUUAGCUGUCCCAUUUGCUCAUUUUAAGUGUUGCCUUUUCCAGCAUUUCAAGGGUUUAAAGCUGCAUUUCAGGGCACUUUUACCCACACCCCGGCACCAAAUAUCUCCAACGGGGGCGAGGCCAGCAGGAGGAUUGCAAUUUCCAGAAGUUCUAGGUCACAUCAAGUGCGAUAUUUCAGAUUCUCUCAGCAGACUCAUAGUAACACAAAAGGGAACCGCCCCCGCAGCAGCUUUCCUUAGCAGCAGAUCGUCCUCUCGCACAGAUUCACUUUGGAGAGAUAAGUCGAGGGCUGUGGUCACAGAGGGGAUCAAAGCAGGGCGGUGGGGUAGGAUUCACACUGCUUAGGGGUUUUGAGUCAGCUUAUGGGGAGGGGAAGGUUUGAGAAAUGGCCUCUGGGGCCACAGUGAGGGAAAGGCUCACCUUAGCUAACAAUGCUGAGGUGGGCAGGGCAGAGCAGUCCCAGGGUGGGUUGUCACUUGUCUCUUGUGCUUUCUGUAUCUUCUGUGCAUCUUCUGUAAUGUUUCUCUUGCCUUAGCCCUUCCAGGAGCUUAUAAGAAACCCCAGGUCCUUCCGUUCAUCUCCCAUCUUCGUGUUCCUCGGCCCGACGCCGGCAAAGCUUCGAUUCGGGAGCUCGGACUCGCAUCAGAAUCACAUCUGUCUUUAGAAGCAUGUGAUCAUAUGUUUCUUUAGGUCUCAUUCUCAGCUGUGUUGACAGCUAUGUGCAGCAAUGUUUCUUUAGAGUGGAUAAGGACUUGUGCCGAUUCAAAGGCAGGCAGAAGCUUCCAGCCACAGGAUUCUCAGGCAUCCAUCUCUGCGGUUCUUGGAAAAAGUUGUUCCUUUAGCAUCUUUUUCCUCCAGGGUCAUCCGAGCCCGGCAGGCUCGCCUUCGGUCCCUCCUCGGUCAUCUCGUUCAGCAUUCUCUCGGUCCUCGUGAGGACUUUCUUGUCUCAGAGUUUUCUCUCCCUGUCACGUCCCCUCGUGUCACGUGUCACGGGUGUCUGGGGGUAUUCGGUCCGGAGCUGCUCUGCCCUGCCGCCCAGCCCGGUUGUAGGUGUUUAAGGACAAGUCCCGGGGACUUGUAAUCGGAGACUUGUAGUACGGGCUGUAGUUGGAGUCUAGGUGGUAUUCUUAUGUUGGCAGAAGGUGUUUGGAGCUGUGAAGUUACCCUGCAGCACUUUGACUUUUUUCCUAACUUUCUUUCAGAUGCAGACGGUUUGACCUCGUGGCAGAGCAGCUAUCCCAGAUGAUGGGGGUCCCCCUGAGAAGGUCAGUCACGGUUUUUCUUUGCAGCGGUGCUGGAACCGGUCACUGUGUUACAUCUCUGCUCUUUGUCUUUGUUUCUAGGA